AGGGUGACAGCCCCGUACACAAAAAUGCACAUACUGUGAGCUCGAUGAGUAGGGCGGGACACGUGGUAUCCUGUCUGAAUAUGGGGGGACCAUCCUCCAAGGCUAAAUACUCCUGACUGACCGAUAGUGAACCAGUACCGUGAGGGAAAGGCGAAAAGAACCCCGGCGAGGGGAGUGAAAAAGAACCUGAAACCGUGUACGUACAAGCAGUGGGAGCCUCUUAAUGGGGUGACUGCGUACCUUUUGUAUAAUGGGUCAGCGACUUAUAUUCUGUAGCAAGGUUAACCGAAUAGGGGAGCCGAAGGGAAACCGAGUCUUAACUGGGCGUUAAGUUGCAGGGUAUAGACCCGAAACCCGGUGAUCUAGCCAUGGGCAGGUUGAAGGUUGGGUAACACUAACUGGAGGACCGAACCGACUAAUGUUGAAAAAUUAGCGGAUGACUUGUGGCUGGGGGUGAAAGGCCAAUCAAACCGGGAGAUAGCUGGUUCUCCCCGAAAGCUAUUUAGGUAGCGCCUCGUGAAUUCAUCUCCGGGGGUAGAGCACUGUUUCGGCAAGGGGGUCAUCCCGACUUACCAACCCGAUGCAAACUGCGAAUACCGGAGAAUGUUAUCACGGGAGACACACGGCGGGUGCUAACGUCCGUCGUGAAGAGGGAAACAACCCAGACCGCCAGCUAAGGUCCCAAAGUCAUGGUUAAGUGGGAAACGAUGUGGGAAGGCCCAGACAGCCAGGAUGUUGGCUUAGAAGCAGCCAUCAUUUAAAGAAAGCGUAAUAGCUCACUGGUCGAGUCGGCCUGCGCGGAAGAUGUAACGGGGCUAAACCAUGCACCGAAGCUGCGGCAGCGACACUAUGUGUUGUUGGGUAGGGGAGCGUUCUGUAAGCCUGUGAAGGUGUACUGUGAGGUAUGCUGGAGGUAUCAGAAGUGCGAAUGCUGACAUAAGUAACGAUAAAGCGGGUGAAAAGCCCGCUCGCCGGAAGACCAAGGGUUCCUGUCCAACGUUAAUCGGGGCAGGGUGAGUCGACCCCUAAGGCGAGGCCGAAAGGCGUAGUCGAUGGGAAACAGGUUAAUAUUCCUGUACUUGGUGUUACUGCGAAGGGGGGACGGAGAAGGCUAUGUUGGCCGGGCGACGGUUGUCCCGGUUUAAGCGUGUAGGCUGGUUUUCCAGGCAAAUCCGGAAAAUCAAGGCUGAGGCGUGAUGACGAGGCACUACGGUGCUGAAGCAACAAAUGCCCUGCUUCCAGGAAAAGCCUCUAAGCAUCAGGUAACAUCAAAUCGUACCCCAAACCGACACAGGUGGUCAGGUAGAGAAUACCAAGGCGCUUGAGAGAACUCGGGUGAAGGAACUAGGCAAAAUGGUGCCGUAACUUCGGGAGAAGGCACGC
rnacentral:rRNA from 1 species